CGGCGGGGCGCGUUGGCGCGGGGAGGGACUGCAGAGGCCCGGUGACUCGCGUUGAAGGAGAAAGGCAACAAAAAAUAAAAAAGGAACAGAUGACUUCAUUCUCGGGAAGGCUCCGUCCUACACGGACCAAUUUCCUGGGGACUGUGGUGGAACAGCCCUGCUGCCGUUGGAAGCACUUAAAACUAAACCAGAUAAAGACCAGAACAUUCUGGGCCCUGCUGAACCAAGCCAGGGCAGGCUGCCGGGGCAUGCAAUUGCUGGCCACAUGGGGAGGACAUGCGGUUAGCCUUUGGUCACGGAGACCUUUGCCCUUUCAAGAUAAAGUGAUCUUCAGCUCUGUUCCCAGCACCAGCCGCUCUCAGUUGCACAGCCCUCCCUGAAUGUGUGAACCAAAGUCACUGGUUCCAAGAAGAAAGAGCAUCCUCCAUCCCCACCCCACUCCCACCC
rnacentral:lncRNA from 1 species